CCUACGGGUGGCAGCAGUGAGGAAUAUUGGUCAAUGGACGAGAGUCUGAACCAGCCACGCAGCGUGAAGGAUGACUGCCCUCUGGUUUGUAAACUUCUUUUAUAUGGGAGUAAAAUGUUCCACGUGUGGGAUUUUAGAUGUACCAUAUGACGUAGGAUCGGCUAACUCCGUGCCUGCAGCCGCGGUAAUACGGAGGAUCCGAGCGUUAUCAGGAUUUAUUGGGGGUAAAGGGAGCGUAGGUGGAUUGAUAAGUCAGUUGUGAAAGUUUGCGGCUCAACCGUAAAAUUGCAGUUGAAACUGGCAGUCUUGAGUACAGUAGAGGUAGGCGGAAUUCGUGGUGUAGCGGUGAAAUGCUUAGAUAUCACGAAGAACUCCGAUUGCGAAGGCAGCUUGCUGGACUGCAACUGACACUGAGGCGCGAAAGUGUGGGUAUCAAACAGGAUUAGAUACCCUUGUAGUC
rnacentral:rRNA from 1 species